GAUGAACGCUGGCGGCAUGCCUAAUACAUGCAAGUCGAGUGUACACACCAGGAUCCUGUUCUUCUCUCGCUAGCUGCCCACGCCCGAGUAACACCUCGCUCACCUACCCAUACGACUCGGACAACUUCGGGAAACCAGAGCUAAUAUCGGAUAAUCUUUUGAACCGCAUGGCCUAAUAGUGCAACCCCGUUUUCCUGUCACUUCUAGACGGACCCGUGCCGCAUUAGCUGCUUGGUAAGGUCACGGCUUACCACGGCUACGAUGCGUAGCCGACCUGAGAGGGUACUCGGCCACACUGGAACUGGAAGACGGGCCAGACCCCUACGGGAGGCGGCAGUAGGGAAUCUUCCGCAAUGGGCGGAGGCCUGACGGAGCGACGCCGCGUGGGUGAUGAGGGGCUUCGGAUCGUAAAGCACUGUUAUUAGGGAAGAACAAAUGUGUGAGUGACUAUGCACGUGUUGACGGUACCGAAGCAGAAGGCCACGGCUAACUAGUUG
rnacentral:rRNA from 1 species